AUAUCAAUAAGCGGAGGAAAAGAAACCAACAGGGAUUGCCUCAGUAACGGCGAGUGAAGCGGCAAGAGCUCAAAUUUGAAAUCUGAAGCCUUUUAGGCUUCCGAGUUGUAAUUUGAAGAGGAUGCUACUGGUUGCGGCCUUAGUCUAAGUUCCUUGGAAUAGGAUGUCAUAGAGGGUGAGAAUCCCGUAUAUGGCUAUGGGCUUGCUUUCGUACGUAGCUCCUUCGAAGAGUCGAGUUGUUUGGGAAUGCAGCUCAAAAUGGGUGGUAAAUUUCAUCUAAAGCUAAAUAUUGGCGAGAGACCGAUAGCGCACAAGUA
rnacentral:rRNA from 1 species